rnacentral:lncRNA from 1 species
AGGGAGAAAAGCCCGCCCGAGGCGCGGUGCUGACGGUGGCUGGGCUGCCGGGUGCGCUGUGGAACCGCCUCCUGCUAGAGCAGCGGGCUGGCGACGGUCCUCGCCGGGGCGGGAAGCGGCUCAGGCUGCCCUCGCUGGCCUGCGGCGGCGCGGCUGGAAGCGCGGGCCACUCGUGCGUGGGUCACUCAGGACUGCGCCUCGCGCGACUGUGUGUGCAGGAAACAAGCAGGAAAUACCCUAAAAGAGAAUGAAGCGCCAUGUUGAGGGUCGCGGACGUCGCGAGUGCUGUGGGAAUGUGGGCUGAGGUGGAGAGUUAUGGUAGCCCGUGUUACAGGCUCAGGGGUCUGAAAGAAGCCUAAUCGUGGAGGCGGCAUCUGAGGAGGGUCUUGAAGGCUGGGCAGGCAUUUGCCCGACAGAGAUGGAGGAAGCUAGUCCUGUCUGAUGGAGGAAACAGGGCGGAGGCGUGGAGGGAGCCGUGCAGCGCUGGUGUGAGGAGCAGCGAGCAGGCCAGGCCUGUAAAGCAGAGUGAGGGAACCAGGAUAGAGAAGGCUGUACAGGAAGCAUGGUGAUGGCAUCUGCAUGGCGCCUGUGGAGGCCCCAGGGAGCUUUUACUCAUGAUGGAAGGCACAGAGGGAGUAGGCACAUCACAUGGUCCGAGGAGGAGCAAGAGAAAAUGGGAGUGGGGCUCUUUGUCCUGGGAAGAGUUUGCUGCAUCUUCCAGUUUCAGUAAUCAAAGAAGCAAAGUUCCCUGCAGUUCUUCAAGGAACCUUGAGAAUUCAGAAGGUCUUGGGGUGGCUGCAUCCAUCCUGCAGACAAAUGCCAAUCAGCAGAGGGGCCAUUCCCAGGGACACAUGUCUGGCUGACUUGGGCCUUGGCCAGGCUUUGGAUUCACCUUGAAAACAUCCCCUCUGAACAUCAGAAGUCCACUUGGUCCCCGAACAGUGUAUUAACUUCUAACAUUUCUGACUUCCAGUCAUGGAGAUUUCAAAACCAAUUGCAUAUAGCAAUGAAGCUUUUCACUUUUAAUGGAACAUUUAGGAGAAGGGCGGCUUUUCCUAUUUUCUGUGUUAUCUUCAGCCUGUUAACUGUUGUCAGCCCUGGAGAGAAACCAUCCCUUCUCCUUAAAAACAUGAACCACAUACUAAGUUGCUUCUUGCCUCUUAAAGAUUCAGGUCACUCAGGUACAUCAGACUGAGACAGGACGCUCAGGUACAUCAUACUGAGACAGGACACUCAGGUACAUGAUACUGAGACAAACACUCAGGUACAUCAUACUGAGACAGGACGCUCAGGUACAUCACACCGAGACAGGACAUGUUGAUUGUUGGUGUGUAUUUCUCCCAAGCCACCACUCAAACCAGUGUUUGAUUUCCAUGGAGGUUGGCUGAUGGCUUUUAGCUUGAGCCCCAACAGUGUGACUUCAUACAAGGCAAUUUCUUCAGAAAUAUCAUGGAACUUCAGGGACAUUAUAUUAUUAAAUUAAAAAAACCUAAUAUGUUAAUUUUUUCAUUAAAGUUUAUGAGUUUACUGAGUUUUUCUUUUCCAAAAUAGUUAAUGAGCUUUUGAGUCAUGUUUUUUAUGAAAGGAUUGACUUUCUCAUGGCGUCCAACUCUGUAGAUAAUCAUCCGAAACAGAUUUGACUGUAUUUGUUUAACAAAAGUCUGCCUAAACCAAACUCUGCCCUGAAUUUUUUGUUUUCCACACGUAUGUGCUAAAUCUGUGUAAUUUGGUAGUUUGUCUCUCCAGAACCACUGUUGGUCUUGUGUCACUAAUCAGCAGAGGCAGCAGUCUGACGGGUCCACAGAGACAAGGGAGGCAGCGGGAGGAAUGCAGUGGCCAGGCAGGUGAGGGACCUCAGGACCAGCAGCUCAGCCGCAUCCUUGCAUGCAGUGGCCAGGCAGGUGAGGGACCUCAGGACCAGCAGCUCAGCCGCAUCCUUGCAUGCAGUGGCCAGGCAGGUGAGGGACCUCAGGACCAGCAGCUCAGCCGCAUCCUUGCAUGCAGUGGCCAGGCAGGUGAGGGACCUCAGGACCAGCAGCUCAGCCGCAUCCUUGCAUGCAGUGGCCAGGCAGGUGAGGGACCUCAGGACCAGCAGCUCAGCCGCAUCCUUGCAUGCAGUGGCCAGGCAGGUGAGGGACCUCAGGACCAGCAGCUCAGCCGCAUCCUUGCAUGCAGUGGCCAGGCAGGUGAGGGACCUCAGGACCAGCAGCUCAGCCGCAUCCUUGCAUGCAGUGGCCAGGCAGUUGAGGCACCUCAGGACCAGCAGCUCAGCUGCAUCCUUCUCUUUUCCCAAGGUCGCACUGAGCAAGUCAGGAUGGUGAAGAAAGUCUCCAUCUCCAAACUGAACACAGGAUUUGUUGAGGUGGCCUCCUGGAGCCUAAGUGUGUUUGGGGUGAUAUCUACAAACUUCCAUCACUGCUUCACUGGUGGCCUUUGGAGAAUCACCAUUUUUUUUCGGUCUUGUUCUGUGGGAUAUAUUCUGAAAAAAUAGGACAAAUGCUAAAAUAGCGAUGUCAAAUUUAAGUUUUUCAUAGAAAUAGCAUAGUAGGGAACUAUACUCAUUUUUAUAAGGAAUACAUUUAAUCGUUACUCUUUCCCUUCCUUUUUUCUUUCCUUAAGAAAUAUUGAACGUUGAUUAUGUACAAAGAAUAGAAUAUGAUGGGAAACAAUACAAGUACCUUAUUACAUAUCGCAUAGUAUAAAUCUUUAAAUUGUGACUAUAAAUUAAACAGAGCCCCUUGAUGUCAUGGCUCAUGCCUGUAAUCCCAGCACUUUGGGAGGCCAAGGCAGGUGGAUCACUUGAGCCCAGGAAUUCAGGACUAGCCUGGGCAACAUGGCAAAACCCUGUCUCUACAAAAUGUACAAAAAUUAGCCAGGCAUGAUGGCUCACGGCUUCAGUCCCAGCUACGUGGGAGGCUGAGGAAGGAGGAUCACUUGAGCCCUGGAGAUUGAGGCUGCAGUGAGCCAUGACUGUGCCACUGCACUCCAGCCUGGGCAACAGAGUGAGACCUGUCUCAAUCAAUCAAUCAAUCAAUCAAUCAAUAAAACAGAGCAACUCAGCAAUAAUUAUAUAUUUAAUUAUUCUAAGUAUUAUAUUAUGUUUAAUAAUAUAAUUAUAUUUAAAUAUUAUAUAUUAUGUAACACAUCAAAGUGUAUCAUAUGAAGUUUUUUGUCUCCAUCAGUCUCUCUUAUUUUGAUAGUAAUGAUAAAACACUGGCCCAACUUAAUCCUCAGAAUGUGUUUAUUGAAUUAAAUGGUAGCCAUGGAAUUCAGAAGAACUUAUUUGAAGAGCUUUAAAAGAGAAAUAACACUUAUGAUUUUCCCUAUUACAAAAGUAUUUGUUCAUAGUAGAAAAUUGGAAAAUUCUGGGAAACAUAAGGAAUAAAAGAACAAUCAUGCCUAAUUCUAUCAUUCAGAGAUAGCAAUUACUACUAAUAUUUUGGCAUAUUUUCUCUAGCCUGUGUGUGUGUGUGUGUGUGUGUGUGUGUGUGUGUAUCUGUGUGUAUGUGUGUGUGUACACAAAGAAAAAGCCAGAGGAAAUGCCAUUUUUUUAUACAAAUAUAAAACAAAAAUGAGAUCUCACAAUAUACAUUGCUUUUAGACAUAUUCUUAAAAUUUAUAUCAUGAG